rnacentral:rRNA from 1 species
GAUGAACGCUGGCGGCGUGCCUAAUACAUGCAAGUCGAGCGAAUGGAUUAAGAGCUUGCUCUUAUGAAGUUAGCGGCGGACGGGUGAGUAACACGUGGGUAACCUGCCCAUAAGACUGGGAUAACUCCGGGAAACCGGGGCUAAUACCGGAUAACAUUUUGAACUGCAUGGUUCAAAAUUGAAAGGCGGCUUCGGCUGUCACUUAUGGAUGGACCCGCGUCGCAUUAGCUAGUUGGUGAGGUAACGGCUCACCAAGGCAACGAUGCGUAGCCGACCUGAGAGGGUGAUCGGCCACACUGGGACUGAGACACGGCCCAGACUCCUACGGGAGGCGGCAGUAGGGAAUCUUCCGCAAUGGACGAAAGUCUGACGGAGCAACGCCGCGUGAGUGAUGAAGGCUUUCGGGUCGUAAAACUCUGUUGUUAGGGAAGAACAAGUGCUAGUUGAAUAAGCUGGCACCUUGACGGUACCUAACCAGAAAGCCACGGCUAACUACGUGCCAGCAGCCGCCGUAA